UACGUAGGGUGCGAGCGUUGUCCGGAAUUAUUGGGCGUAAAGAGCUCGUAGGCGGUGUGUCACGUCGUUCGUGAAAACCUGCAGCUUAACUGUGGGCGUGCGGUCGAUACGGGCAUCACUGGAGUUCGGCAGGGGAGACUGGAAUUCCUGGUGUAGCGGUGAGAUGCGCAGAUAUCAGGAGGAACACCGGUGGCGAAGGCGGGUCUCUGGGCCGAUACUGACGCUGAGGAGCGAAAGCGUGGGGAGCAAACAGG
rnacentral:rRNA from 1 species